UACGGAGGGUGCGAGCGUUAAUCGGAAUUACUGGGCGUAAAGCGCACGCAGGCGGUUUGUUAAGCUAGAUGUGAAAGCCCCGGGCUCAACCUGGGAUGGUCAUUUAGAACUGGCAAACUAGAGUCUUGGAGAGGGGAGUGGAAUUCCAGGUGUAGCGGUGAAAUGCGUAGAUAUCUGGAGGAACAUCAGUGGCGAAGGCGACUCCCUGGCCAAAGACUGACGCUCAUGUG
rnacentral:rRNA from 1 species